rnacentral:snRNA from 1 species
GGUUGUGAGGAUGAUCUUGCUGCAACACCUGUCACCCCACUGAUCACCAGGGUUGAUUCGGUUGAUCUGGCUAGGUGGGUGUCCCCUUCCUCCCUCACCAUUCCACAUGCAUUCCUCCCAAAGCUGUGCACUCAGUCGAAGAGGACGACCAUCCCCAACGGAGGAGGACCAUUCUUUGGUCUAGGAUAUACAAGAGGCUGAGCUCUCCUGCUAGAACCUCUAAACAAGCUCUGAAGAUGAGCCUUAACUGAGCAGUAACUGCCGCAAAACGAACUUCAAACAGUUUAAGGAACAGAAAUUGCUAAGUCAGGCUUUCCUUCUUU